CAAUGGGGGAAACCCUGACCCAGCGACGCCGCGUGGAGGAAGAGUCCUUCGGAAUGUAAACUCCUGGAAUAGGGGAAGAGGCAAGUCGGUACCCUAGUAGAAGGGCCGGCUAACUACGUGCCAGCAGCCGCGGUAAUACGUAGGUCCCCAGCGUUGUCCGGUUCAUUGGGUGUAAAGGGCAUGUAGGCGGUCAAGUGUGUCUCAUGUGAAAGCUCAGGGCCAACUCUGAGAGUGCGUGGGAGACUACUUGGCUGGAGGACGGUAGAGGGAAGUGGAAUUCCGGUGUAGCGGUAAAAUGCGUAGAUAUCGGGAGGAACACCAGUGGCGAAGGCGGCUUCUGGCCCGAUCCUGACGCUGAGGCGCGAAAGCCAGGGGAGCGAACCGGAUUAGAUACCCGGUAGUCCACACCGUAAACGAUGUGUGCUAGGUGUUGGGGGGUAAAGACCCUUCAGUGCCCAGCUAACGCGAUAAGCAUCCCACCUGGGGAGUACGCCCGCAAGGUUGAAACUCAAAUGAUUGACGGG
rnacentral:rRNA from 1 species